CACUCCAGCCUCGGUGACAGAAGGAGACCCUUUCUCAAAAACAAAACAAAACAAACAAAAAACCCUCAUCUUUUGGAAUCAAUGCACGUUUCAGUUCUCGGAUUUUUAUUUGACUUUUAAACAAUACAUUCCAUGUUUCUGGUACAAUUCUCCAUGUUUUUCCUUUAUCCUCUUAAAAAUGUUACUACUAAUCUCUAUUGUAUAAUUUCACUAUCUGAAUUAUUGUAAGUCUCUUUUAAUUGCCUGCUCUUUUUUCUUGGUUUUUGGUUAUUUGGAUCUUCUGUUUGAUUAUGACUCACAAUGUUGGACAUUGUGGAUAAAAAUUGUAGAGGCUCUGGAAGAUGUUAUUUCCAAAGAGGGUUAAGUUUUCUGCUGGUAGGCAGAUAGCAUUAAUGCUGUUAGAUCACCUUGAGACUGUUAGGAUCUCUGGUUUUAGGCUUUUUAGGGCUAAUCUGUUUCACUUACUCCUAGGGUUUUAACUGAAAGUAUAGGAUGCUUACGAAGACCCUUUUAUUUUGACAAGACUUGAACUCUAACCUUUGUUUUCUCAACAUCUGAUAGGUUCUCUGAUGUCUGAUCUCUGCUUACUCUUUAGCCUCUUGGUUACUGUUCUCUACUGGAUUUCUUGGCAUUUCACCCAACACCUAAUUUUUAGAAGCCAUCUAUUAACUCAAGGGGAAAUCGCAUACACAUUUCUGGACUUGCUUUUCCACAGUAACCCUUUUUCUAGACCCUUACCUCUCAAGUUCCUGUUCUUUUGGCAUGCCUCAACUCCAACCUCUGUUUCCACAGUCUUGUAAGAAUGCCACUUUCUGUUUCUGUUAUUUCUUAAUGCCAUGAUUCAACAAAUGCCCUGAGGAAAAAAGUCAAGUUGAAUUUAAAACUUACCUUGGUGUACUCCUCACCUGGGAGAGGUGUCAUAGUCCUUUAAGUCCAGUGUGUAGUGGUGUUCUUUAAUGCUAGCAUUUUUUAAAAAAAUGUAUUAUGUCCUACUUUUACCCUUUUCAGACUAGAAGAAGGUAGUCUGAUCCAAGUUGUUCUGUCAUGAUCAGAACCAAUCUGACUUAAAAUUCUUCCUGUGUAACAUUUUAAAGUUCAUGUUCUUUUUAAGAUUUUCUCUAAUUUGGCUGUUUUCUUUUACAAUGCUUGGAGGAUAAACACAGUUAUAGUACAAUUAUGAGGAGUCUGGGUUUAUAAUGAGGAUCAUGAAAAUUAUUGCAUUUUCAAAAUUAUUUUCUGUAUGCUGGUAUUUACUUAAAAACGAAUGAGAGCCACAAUAACCUAAGGCUUUUUGCCAUUUCUGUGUUUACUUAACCACACUUUUGUCCGUAUCUUUCACAUUUGUACUAGAGUGUACUUACCUUCCUUGAAAUAUUGUAGUUCACAUUUGUAUAAUACUUUAGAGUUUGCAGACUGCUGCCAUAUCCAUUAUAGUCUCAUUUGUUUUUCAUAACAACCCUGAUAGUAUUAUUAUUUUACAAAUGAUAAAACUAAGGCUAAAAUGUUAAACAGACUUAGGUAGUAAAUAACAGAGUGGAAACUUGAAUAUACUACUACUUCCUAAUUCCAAAGCCUAUACAAUGCUUUU